UAGGGAAUCUUCCGCAAUGGGCGAAAGCCUGACGGAGCAACGCCGCGUGAGUGAUGAAGGUCUUCGGAUCGUAAAACUCUGUUAUUAGGGAAGAACAAAUGUGUAAGUAACUAUGCACGUCUUGACGGUACCUAAUCAGAAAGCCACGGCUAACUACGUGCCAGCAGCCGCGGUAAUACGUAGGUGGCAAGCGUUAUCCGGAAUUAUUGGGCGUAAAGCGCGCGUAGGCGGUUUUUUAAGUCUGAUGUGAAAGCCCACGGCUCAACCGUGGAGGGUCAUUGGAAACUGGAAAACUUGAGUGCAGAAGAGGAAAGUGGAAUUCCAUGUGUAGCGGUGAAAUGCGCAGAGAUAUGGAGGAACACCAGUGGCGAAGGCGACUUUCUGGUCUGUAACUGACGCUGAUGUGCGAAAGCGUGGGGAUCAAACAGU
rnacentral:rRNA from 1 species